UCCCAGGUGGUCCAGUUGCUAGGACUCUGCGCUUCCAAUGCAGGGGUCCCGGGUUCUGCCUCUGGUCAGGGAA
rnacentral:tRNA from 1 species